GCAGCAUGAUUUCCAUCCCUUUAAACAUAGUUAAAAGAGAUAGAAGAAAAAAAAACACAGAUUUCUAAUAUCCUUAAACUCUAUAAGCACGGAGGACUAAUGUGACCAGUAAUAGUUUGAAUCAUUAUUAAGGAAUCUCCUUCAAAAAUAACCUCUGAGAAACCACCAUGAUAAGUUAAGAGGAUUGCUUCUCUGCAAGCAAGACAUUCCAGCACAAGAGGAUCAAAAAAAUCAUUGAAAACCUUGCAUCGCCAUAUUAUUAGGGAGCCAUUCUCGUCUCGUGCAAUCCCUGUUGUGGCACCUCCAAGAUUCUUCUUUUUGACGGCUGCAUUAAAAUUAAACUUAACAACACCUUGAGGGGAGGGUUCAACUAGAUUGGCACUGGUAAACUGGGAGCAGGUUGUUGCACAAUAUUAACUUCAUUAAAAUCCUUGUAGUGCAUAGAAGCUGCCGAGAUGAUGGAGGAAGCCAACUCCCUUAAGUCACUGAAGAGAAGCUUAUUUCUGCU
rnacentral:lncRNA from 1 species